AAACCAGCACCUCAAGUGGUCAGGAGGAUUAUUGGGCCUAAAGCAUCCGUAGCCGGCUCUGUAAGUUUUCGGUUAAAUCUGUACGCUUAACGUACAGGCUGCUGGGAAUACUGCAGAGCUAGGGAGUGGGAGAGGUAAACGGUACUCGGGAGGAAGUGGUAAAAUGCUUUGAUCUCUCGAUGACCACCUGUGGCGAAGGCGGUCUACCAGAACACGUCCGACGGUGAGGGAUGAAAGCUGGGGGAGCAAACCGGAUUAGAAACCCCAGUAGUCC
rnacentral:rRNA from 1 species